rnacentral:rRNA from 1 species
GACGAACGCUGGCGGCGUGCUUAACACAUGCAAGUCGAACGGAAAGGCCCUGCUUUUGUGGGGUGCUCGAGUGGCGAACGGGUGAGUAACACGUGAGUAACCUGCCCUUGACUUUGGGAUAACUUCAGGAAACUGGGGCUAAUACCGGAUAGGAGCUCCUGCUGCAUGGUGGGGGUUGGAAAGUUUCGGCGGUUGGGGAUGGACUCGCGGCUUAUCAGCUUGUUGGUGGGGUAGUGGCUUACCAAGGCUUUGACGGGUAGCCGGCCUGAGAGGGUGACCGGCCACAUUGGGGCUGAGAUACGGCCCAGACUCCUACGGGAGGCAGCAGUGGGGAAUAUUGCACAAUGGGCGGAAGCCUGAUGCAGCAACGCCGCGUGCGGGAUGACGGCCUUCGGGUUGUAAACCGCUUUCGCCUGUGACGAGGCGUGAGUGACGGUAAUGGGGAAAGAAGCACCGGCUAACUACGU